rnacentral:lncRNA from 1 species
UGAACAUUUUUUCUGUUGACUUAGAUGGAAUGUAGAAAGCACAUCCGGUCCCUUCCGAUGAUUUGGAUGCAUCUGUAUAAUAGAUCACAGUUGCUUUGGGCCAUUUGUCUAUACAGGAAUUCAAGAUGGAUGAAUCUAAUAAUGAACUAUUAUAAUAUGUCGGUAUAUGUAUAUCAGGUUCAUAAAAAAAUGCGAAAUAGUCGUUAGUAUCAAGGUUGUUGAUAUUGUUGAUAUACUUAUUGUUGCACAUGGUUCUAAAGGCUGUACACAGGGUUGGUGUAUUUUUAUGAGUCCAGUAACUGUUUGUUAGAUCAUCUGUGUUUAGUGAGCUUAUGCUAGAAUAUAAUGAAUUAUUGAUACAUGCAAUUUUCACAACAAAUUUU